GUCAGGAUGGCCGAGUGGUCUAAGGCGCCAGACUCAAGUUCUGGUCCUCGAUGAGGGCGUGGGUUCAAAUCCCACUUCUGACA
rfam:Leersia perrieri chromosome 11, whole genome shotgun sequence.